AACCACUACAGUUACAUAAAUGUACUGUUAGUUUUAUUAUUACAUUGUUUUUUUAUGGGCCAGUAAACCCCAAAGUAAAUACACAGUUACAGUCUUCCCAGAAGAGUAAGUAGAACCCUCAGUGUCCCAUUUUGUCCAACUUCUGCCAGGAGAGCAAUCCUAAAAAACAUUUCCUUCCGUUCAGAUGCAUUCAGUUCAGUAUUAAUCCAGUCCAAUGUCUUUUAUCUUUGGUUAGAAAGAUUCUCAAAGGAUGCCUACUUGAGUCACUUCUUCUCUAACUUAAGUAAUAUGGAGAUACCUGCAGCCGCCGCUGCCCUCGCUCCGGCCGCGGGACCCCCAUCGCCCACGCGGGCACCGCCGUCCCCUCGCCGCUCCUCCCUCUCCGUCCGUCCCUGGGACGCGGCCGGAGGAUGACCGCUGGACCCCGCGCGCCGCUCCUCCUCCGAUCGCCGCCCGCUCCCGCGCGCUCUGCCCGGCGCUGGCUCUCGAGUGCGCUCCGCCGCCGGACGGGAGGAG
rnacentral:lncRNA from 1 species